rnacentral:tRNA from 1 species
GGGGCUACACAGCACUACUUUGUAGUAAAAAGCAAGCUAUACAUAGCAUUAACCC